rnacentral:lncRNA from 1 species
CCAUAUGAUUCAUCGAUAUUAAUAAAGCUCGCGAUACAUCAAGAUCCUGCCAUCUCAAGAAACACGAGAGAGAGAGAGAUUGAACACAUAUCUACUAGUACAUACCCUGAGCCCCAAGGAGGAUUAGUGACACAUUAUCACGGUGAGAAAGAGAGAUUUAUUAAUGGAGGGGUGCAACCCUGAAGAGAUGGAGGCGAUAGCGGCCACGGCACCAGCGAUGGGCGACAGUGGUGGCAACGGGCGGCGGCCCCUCGCGCCCUCCUUCU